rnacentral:rRNA from 1 species
UACGUAGGUGGCAAGCGUUGUCCGGAAUUAUUGGGCGUAAAGCGCGCGCAGGCGGUCCUUUAAGUCUGAUGUGAAAACCCACGGCUCAACCGUGGAGGGUCAUUGGAAACUGGGGGACUUGAGUACAGAAGAGGAAAGCGGAAUUCCACGUGUAGCGGUGAAAUGCGUAGAGAUGUGGAGGAACACCAGUGGCGAAGGCGGCUUUCUGGUCUGUAACUGACGCUGAGGCGCGAAAGCGUGGGGAGCAAACAGG